GCUCUGCUCAAGCAGCAACACAGCAGGGUUAUUAUUAGAGUUCAUCAACAUUAACGGAUCAUUUACUCCAGGCUUAAGGGACCCAUGGUCCGGAAAUAGAUUUAGGCUCCCAAUGCCAGUAACUGGGAAAAAAGAUGCAAUGCUGGGUUCGAGAAUCUUGGUAUCUUUUAAAGGAGUGACGGUGAAAUAGAGUGAGAGAUAGACUGAUGGAUCUGGGCUUUGUCUACAGGACUGAGUGUUGCUCUUAAUUUACUGCUCUGUCUACAUUCCAGCACUGGAUUUGUUUCAUAGCCAAGAUACAAGAGGCUGACAUGAACUUCCUCUGUAUGACAGCUGAUUCAGCCUCAGAGGUAAAGUGAGGCGCUCCAUCAUCAGAGUAGAACUGCAUUGGGAGGAUCUCCUGACCCAUUCUAAUAUGAAACCCUGGAACUGACCCAGAAGCUCCUUUAUAUAUCCUCAUUCAGUCUGGGAACGCACGGGAGGAGCGGGAUACCUGUUACCUCGUCAACCUGACCUUGGAUAAGCAGUGGAAAAUGGAUGUAUGAAUGAACAAAGUCAAGGAUGUGUUAAAGGCAUGCAGACAGGCAUGCAGCAAGGAGGAAAACAACAUUACAGAUGGAAACAACUUCCUCUCUCAGUCUGGAGGUCCACAGGAGUUAAGUGCCCGCCCCAUAAUCGGAAGGUUGCAGGUUCGAACCCCGCUCAGUCUGUCGCUGUUGUUGUGUCCUUGGGCAAGACACUUAACCUACCAUACCUGCUGGUGGUGGUCGGAGGGACCGGUGGAGCCUGUGCACGGCAGAUUUGCGUCUGUCAGUGUGUUCCAGGGCAGCUGUGGUUACAGUGAAGCUCAUCACCACCAGUGUGUGAAUGGGCGAUUGACUGAUUAUGUUGUUAAGUGCCUUGGGGGGUUCCAAGACACUAGAAAGUGCUCUAUCAAAUGCAGGUACUUUACCAUUUAACACAUACAAAGGAAAUAGAAACCUCUGAGAAAAUGCUCAUGAAGAACGAAUCUCAAAUGUCAGAAUGUGUUGUUUCAAUAUUCUUCAUGACUCACCAGGAGCCUUCAGGAAGAUCUGAAACUCCACUGAUGCUCAAGUUCAACAAGACAUCUGAACUUUGUUAGUGUCUACACCCAAUCAGCCAAUCACACAGCUUGGUGCAUUCAGGCACCUAUAUGUGGUGAAGAUGACUUGCUGGAGUUCAAACGCAUCAGAAUGAAGAAAGGAGCUUGAAAGGACUUUGAACAGAUCAUGGUUAUUGUGUGAAGGAUAUCUGAACCACAACACGUCCCUCCAGAUAGACCCCAGCAGCAGAAGACCACACCAGCUUUCACUUCUGUAAGCUAAAAACAGGAAACCAAGCCUACAAUUCACAUAAGAACACCAGAACUGGGCCAUUACACUUAUUAUUUCUAUAGGUGUACCUCAGGGCUCCCUCUCGGGCUCAACUCAAUUCUCUUUUAACAUUAGUGACGCUGCCAAAGCUGCUGGUUAUUUCCAGAUUCACGUAUAUGCUGGUGAGACAUACCAUCUACUCAGUAGGUUCUUCUCCCACAUCUGGGCAUCUGUCUGGAUUCAUCUUUAUUUUUCACCACUCAUGUCAACAAUCUGCAAUCAAAAGCCAAAGCACAACUUUUCUUUUUUUAUAAUAAAGUUUCUUUUACUCAUGCUGCCAAACAUGCUUAUUAAAAUGACAAUACUUCCAAUUCUGGACUUCCUCCAUCUUCUCAUCUUCUGCCUCGCAGCAGCAUAUGGCUGGGUCAUUUUACAAACCCAAACUUAAACUUGCAACCCAAACAUCCAUCACAACAUUCUAAUUUAACCUUCAUCAGGUUAUAGUUGACUGCUGCACCUAGAUCACUCUUAUUUCUAUAAUUUUACAUGAAUAUUCAUUCCUUUUUACACUGGUUUGUCUGCAUUCCUGUAUGCAUGUGCAUAUGCGCUCACAUGCCUGCCAUAGCUUUUACUUGCUAUGAUAUGUUCUCUGUUUUCUUUUCUUUUAUAUGUGCAAAUGUAAUUGUUGUUUUUGUUGCUUUACCUACAAGGUAUCUCAACCAGGUCUUGUUUGGAAAUGAGAACAGGCUGUCAAACAUUUUACCAGGUAAAAUAAAGGCUGGGAAGAAAGUCAAGGACUUUGCAGGAUUUCUUUUCACUUUAGUUAAGGAUACAUUUAAAAAGAAAUGUUGCAAAAAAAAUUAUGUUUUGUGAUUGAGAUGUUGUUGUUGUUGGUGGUGGAACGAAUCGAUAAAACCAUUAAAAAGCUGAGCAUUGUGCAGUCCAAAGCAUCCAGUCUGACACACAGCAGAUCUUGUUCUGAGCUUAUCUUCAUGGAGUAAACUGCUCUACAGACGCCGUAAUCUUGGCUUCUCUAAAAAGCAGCUUCUGUGUUCGUCCUGUAAGCAAACAAUGGGCUAUUGUAGCACCGGAUAUACCUCAGAUGGCUGCGGCCAUAAGUCAAAAUAAGGAGAAAAGUUCUUUUUGUGGUUGCAGGGAGAAAAAAGUUGAGUCUGGGUCCAGAUAAGAAGCUGGUGUAGCUUGUUUGUAUCCGUGCGGUCCUCCUGCUGAGCCAAGAGCCAGCUAAGCUGGAUGAGGGUCUGUGUUUUGUCUCCAGGAGAUUUAAUUAGCAGAGCUCAUUAUUCAUGGUUGAAGCCCAGAGUUUGACAUUUCCAUGAGCACAAAAGCCUGGCUUCCUACCACCUGUCUGUGAAGGCAUCAUUAAUGCGUUCAGCUGUCAACACAUCUCUUUUACUGCUGCAGCGAACAAACAGCCAUGUUUGUUCAGCUUGAUGCAGCAACUUGAUGCUCAUGAGCAGGACAACGGUCUGGCUUCUCCAACCUCAGAACUUGUGCAAGUAAAAAGGGUCCAGCUGAGUUUAUUUUGAUGAGAUUUUCCUUCAUAAAUAAAAAUUCAACUUGAGCUGUAUAAAGAAUAUUUUGCCAGUGUCAGUUUGAACUUGUUAGAACUUUUUGAGAAGAAAUUACACAUCAGAAUUAAUGUCAAUACAACUACAACAACUGAUAAUAUUAUAUAUACACAUAUAAUUUGGCCGAAGGGCCUGAGUUUGCCACCUGUGGUGUAAAGAGGUGAAAUUUGCAUUCUUCUCACUCUUCUCUUUCAUAAACACAAAAAUUAAAAACUAUUCUAAAGUGAUGGUAAAUUCACCAGAAAAAUUACAACUAAAUCUAGUUCAGCUCAGCUCUUUCUGGUUGUGUUUGCCGUGUUAGUGACUGUAGAUCAGGGAAACAGUGACUUCAUGGUUCUGAAUGAAUCCCAGAAAAGUUUGGGUGUGUGCAUGUGUGUUUGGAGGAGAAGGGCUCUUUUAAACCUCAUUUCACAAGUUCAGCUCUAGAUCCCACUUGUUGUUAAUGUAGAAUCGUUGACAUUGAUGCAUUUAAACUCAGCGCUCAAUGUUUUUAUCAUCUCGCACAGCAAACAUCUGGCAUCACAUGAGAAACAGCUUUCAGAUUUAAGAAUGUGUGUGAAAAUCAGCUUUAAAAAGCCUGAUGUGACUUUUCUAAUGCCCCUCUCAGCUGCCUGUGGCCUGUUUCCCCCUCCAACGUGUUUAUGAGCUGAACUUUCUAAAACAGGAAAUAAAUAAAAUAAACAGAUAAAUGAAUAUGCCACUUUAGAAAGCAUGCUGACUUGGCAGAGCUGGCACUGAAAAUGUGACCGGACGAGGGGGGGUCAGAGUUCCACGAAGCAGUUUUCCAUGUCAACGGCAGCAGUCGGACCAUCUGGGACCCAGAUCUGUUAGUGUGUUUACUGCAGAUCUUUUUACAGAUCAUUCAGGGCUAGAAAUGACUCAGUUAAAGAAAAACAGCACACAUUCUCAAAGAGAUGUUCUCUGAAAUCAGAAAAAUUACUAAAAUGUUCCUGAAUAAGUGGAAGAACCAAGUCAAGUCUGUGCAAGAUUAGUUAAAUUAUCACACAGAUGUUUCUCAUUAGGUUAACUGUACAUUACUUUACUAAAAAUAAACAUCCGGAAAGAGAAAAACAUGUCCAUCAAGAACUUUCUUCAUUUUUUACUUUGUUUAAAGGUGCAACAUGUAAGAAUAAAGUAGGAAUGACACCCUGUGGUUAAAUGUUGUUACUGCAGUCCAUUUUUCUCAACAAAAACUCACUACCUCACUACCGUUUAGUGGCUGUUGCCAGUUACGGAUCAGUGUCAGAAGAUUCUAGCUGAUAAAUGAAGAGUCAUACACACUGAGUUGAUAAGUAGAUAAAUUCAUAAUUAUAUCUGGUGUUAUACUCUUGGGUGUUUUAUGGUAGGGAGCUCUUACUACACUUAUUACGGUAGUUUGCCUCUGGCAUCAUAGACAGUGCAGUUGUUUGCAGUCUUGCUGUGAUAGCUCUAAACGACUCAUUAAAGAAAUUAAAUUAUUUUUCAGAAAUCCCUAAAAGUGACCGUCUUAUCAUGUACUGUGAUAUAAAGUAAGCAAUACGUGCUAAGCACGCCCCCUGCCCCGCAGAGCUCCGUGCAAUAGGAAACUGAGCGCCGACCAGAACUAACCAAUAGCGUUACUUUCCACGGAGUCGCUAGAAUAUAAAUAUAUGAGAACACAACAUGACAUGAGAAUAAUACUUGUAAAACAACAUAUUUUAGCUCUGUUUGUUGCCUACAGAAGCUUGUUAAUAAACAAGAAACAUGAAGUCGCCAUCUUAACUCAUUCGCUGCCAGCCAUUUCCUGAUCGCUAAAGUCCUUCGCUGCCAGUGUUUCUCGCCAUUUUUACUGUUUUUUUAAGAGUCACAGAACGUUGUGCGCUAGCAUGAUGUCGACGCCAAAACAACCAAAACAAAGAGUAGACUCACUUAUUACAUCAGGAAGAAUCCGCGUGUUUCAAGCGCUAUCCGUUCUUUCAUAAUACGUUGUUGAAUUUUGAUCGGCAGACACUUUUCCGGUUCGCGCCUCCCUUUUUUUAUUACAGGAACGGCUCAAAACGAUCUCCUAACACAUGGAUGUUCUGCUUCCUGAUCACGUGACGUGUGACGUAUGCGGAUGAAGAUCGGCUUCAGAGCUGAGAUGUUUGUUCUCUCAGUGCGGGGGCU